rnacentral:rRNA from 1 species
GACGAACGCUGGCGGCGUGCUUAACACAUGCAAGUCGAACGGAAAGGCCCUGCUUUUGUGGGGUGCUCGAGUGGCGAACGGGUGAGUAACACGUGAGUAACCUGCCCUUGACUUUGGGAUAACUUCAGGAAACUGGGGCUAAUACCGGAUAGGAGCUCCUGCUGCAUGGUGGGGGUUGGAAAGUUUCGGCGGUUGGGGAUGGACUCGCGGCUUAUCAGCUUGUUGGUGGUGUAGUGGCUUACCAAGGCUUUGACGGGUAGCCGGCCUGAGAGGGUGACCGGCCACAUUGGGACUGAGAUACGGCCCAGACUCCUACGGGAGGCAGCAGUGGGGAAUAUUGCACAAUGGGCGGAAGCCUGAUGCAGCAACGCCGCGUGCGGGAUGACGGCCUUCGGGUUGUAAACCGCUUUCGCCUGUGACGAAGCGUGAGUGACGGUAAUGGGUAAAGAAGCACCGGCUAACUACGUGCCAGCAGCCGCGGUGAUACGUAGGGUGCGAGCGUUGUCCGGAUUUAUUGGGCGUAAAGGGCUCGUAGGUGGUUGAUCGCGUCGGAAGUGUAAUCUUGGGGCUUAACCCUGAGCGUGCUUUCGAUACGGGUUGACUUGAGGAAGGUAGGGGAGAAUGGAAUUCCUGGUGGAGCGGUGGAAUGCGCAGAUAUCAGGAGGAACACCAGUGGCGAAGGCGGUUCUCUGGGCCUUUCCUGACGCUGAGGAGCGAAAGCGUGGGGAGCGAACAGGCUUAGAUACCCUGGUAGUCCACGCUGUAAACGGUGGGUACUAGGUGUGGGGUCCAUUCCACGGGUUCCGUGCCGUAGCUAACGCUUUAAGUACCCCGCCUGGGGAGUACGGCCGCAAGGCUAAAACUCAAAGGAAUUGACGGGGCCCCGCACAAGCGGCGGAGCAUGCGGAUUAAUUCGAUGCAACGCGUAGAACCUUACCUGGGUUUGACAUGGAUCGGGAGCGCUCAGAGAUGGGUGUGCCUCUUUUGGGGUCGGUUCACAGGUGGUGCAUGGCUGUCGUCAGCUCGUGUCGUGAGAUGUUGGGUUAAGUCCCGCAACGAGCGCAACCCUUGUUCACUGUUGCCAGCACGUUAUGGUGGGGACUCAGUGGAGACCGCCGGGGUCAACUCGGAGGAAGGUGGGGAUGACGUCAAGUCAUCAUGCCCCUUAUGUCCAGGGCUUCACGCAUGCUACAAUGGCUGGUACAGAGAGUGGCGAGCCUGUGAGGGUGAGCGAAUCUCGGAAAGCCGGUCUCAGUUCGGAUUGGGGUCUGCAACUCGACCUCAUGAAGUCGGAGUCGCUAGUAAUCGCAGAUCAGCAACGCUGCGGUGAAUACGUUCCCGGGGCU